rnacentral:lncRNA from 1 species
ACUGAGACACCUGCAGCUACACCUAAGUCAGGCAAGCAUAAGAAUAAGGAAAAACGAAAGGACUCCAACCACCACCAUCACAGCGCUCCUGCCAGUGCUGCUCCCAAACUGCCUGAGGUGGUGUAUCGUGAGCUAGAUCAAGAUACCCCUGAUGCACCGCCCCGGCCUACUUCCUACUACCGGUACAUCGAGAAGUCUGCAGAGGAGCUGGAUGAGGAGGUGGAGUAUGAUAUGGAUGAAGAGGACUACAUCUGGCUGGAUAUCAUGAACGAGCGGCGGAAGACUGAGGGUGUAAGUCCCAUUCCACAAGAGAUCUUUGAGUACUUAAUGGACCGGUUGGAGAAGGAGUCGUACUUUGAGAGUCACAAUAAAGGUGACCCCAAUGCACUAGUGGAUGAAGAUGCUGUGUGCUGUAUCUGCAAUGAUGGCGAGUGCCAGAACAGCAAUGUUAUCCUCUUCUGUGACAUGUGCAACUUGGCUGUGCACCAGGAGUGCUACGGUGUCCCCUAUAUCCCUGAAGGCCAGUGGCUGUGCCGCCGUUGCCUGCAGUCACCUUCUCGUGCAGUGGACUGUGCUCUGUGCCCCAAUAAGGGCGGUGCCUUCAAGCAGACAGAUGAUGGCCGCUGGGCCCACGUGGUGUGUGCCUUGUGGAUCCCUGAGGUCUGCUUUGCCAACACAGUCUUCCUAGAACCUAUCGAUAGCAUUGAGCACAUCCCACCAGCUCGGUGGAAGCUCACCUGCUACAUUUGUAAACAGCGGGGC